CAUUGCGGUUUUAAAUGACGAUAAACCAACAAAAUAUAGAAGUGAGGACCAUUUUCAAUAUUUAUGGGAAUAACAACUCAUUUUACUAUAAAUAGCAAAACGCGUAUCAAAGGGCAAUUAGCAUGAGUAAAUAUUUAAAAUUAUUCCUUCCUUUAUAUAGCUUUAAUUAUUUACACAGUUAAAUAUCAUUGGUUCAGUGUCCCUUCUAAUAUAAGUGCGUUCGUUCACUGAGUUUAAUAUAUUACCUAUUUAAUUGUUGUUCAGUAAAGUAGUGGUUAUGUUGAAGGUACUCAUUGUAUUAGGGUUGGUGGGAGUGUCGUGGGCAGGCAUUAUAACUGGUUAUUAUCGCCCUGCUGCUGGUGUGGUACGUUCCCAAGAAUGUCCACCCAACUUGGCGUACAGUAUGCUGGUGCGAAGAUGUGUAUCGCGAGAACAAUAUUUUAUGGAAACGUAUUUCGACUAUAAUGACUAUUAAAUGGAUUGGGUACCUAUUGAAGAAAUUGUAGUCAGCAUGGUCUGAACAAUAUUGUGCCUUAAUACAAUAAUAAUACAAUCGUUAAGGAGAACUGAAAACUAUCAAAAUUGCCAAUUCACGAUUCAUGUUUUAUACUUAGUUUAUAUUAAUGUACUUAAAUAGCCAUAUUAUGUACUUUUACUUACCUUAGUAUUGAAAAAAAAGAAGAAUGAAUAAAGAAUUUAGAUUGUGAUUA